UACAGAGGGUGCGAGCGUUAAUCGGAAUUACUGGGCGUAAAGCGUGCGUAGACGGCUAUCUAAGUCGGGUGUGAAAGCCCCGGGCUCAACCUGGGAAUUGCAUUCGAGACUGAAUAGCUAGGGUACGGUAGAGGGAAGCGGAAUUUCCGGUGUAGCGGUGAAAUGCGUAGAUAUUCGGAAGAACACCAGUGGCGAAGGCGACUGACUGGACAAGUAUUGACGCUGAGGUACGAAAGCGUGGGGAGCAAACAGG
rnacentral:rRNA from 1 species